rnacentral:sRNA from 1 species
GCUGGGUGGAGGUGCAUACCUGUAAUCCCAGCAACUCAGGAGGCUGAGGCAGGAGAAUCGCAAGUUCAAGGCCAGCCUCAGCAACUUGGCGAGAUCCUGUCUCAA